rnacentral:tRNA from 1 species
GGCAGCGUGGCCUAGGGGAUAGAGCUUGGGCUUGGGAGUCAGAAGGAUCUGGGUUCUAUUCCCGGCACUGCCA